rnacentral:tRNA from 1 species
GGGGCUGUAGCUCAGUUGGGAGAGCGCCUCCCUUGCACGGAGGAAGUCGGGGGUUCGAGUCCCCCCAGCUCCACCA